GGCUGGGGGCCCCAGGCCACUAGCCCGCCAGACUGCCCCACACCUGCCACCCUCCGAUGGGUCCGCUGCCUUUGUGCCCGCCAAUAGGGUUGUCGCUGCUGCUGCUGCUGCUGCUGCUGCUGCUGCUGCUGCUGCUGCUGCUGCUGCUGCUGCUGCUGCUGCUGCUGCUCUGCUCUUCUGACCCGGCCUGUUUUUAUUGUUUUUGCUUGCUUGCUUUGUUUUUCAAUCCGUUUCUUGUACUGUGAUUUAAGACUUUGGUUUUCCAUGAAUGUCAGUGAUAGAAUUUAUUAAUGCAAUUUAAUACCAGUUAGCAUAAUGAAAUCAGAAGGUAUUUAAUCAUUGACUUAGUGUUCAACAAAGAGGGGAUGUAAAGCUGCCCGGAGCCUAAGUUUGGGAAACCCUGUGUGCAGCCAUGGAGAUAAACACUCAGACUGGGAAACUGAGGCCCGCAAAGAUCAAGUCCUCGCCAAGAGUUACAUACGUGGACAGAGUCCUGGAACCCCAGCUCCGCUGCAGAGGAGAGGAGGCUGCAGCCCACAACCUCGGGGUCUGGAGUUUUCUGCGAGCUGGGAGGCAGCGUUGCUGGAGAGGUUGGUCACCCUUCCCCAGUGGCUCCGCCCAGACACCAUUCCCCCCAGCACCCUUGGCCCUCGGUCCCCAGAGCUUCCUGGACUGGGGAGGAGGGGACCGGGAGGGAGAAUGUGGACAGCGCCGCCUGCCGGGUUCUUGCCUCUGGGGGAUUCUCGGUCUGUCUCUGCCGCUUUAUCUCCAUUCUCUUCACCGGGUCUCUGCAUCCCUGUCUUUGUCUCCGCGUGCGAGUCUUUGUCGCUCUCUGUGUCUCCGUCUCUCCUUCUGUCUCUUUGUAUGUGUCUCUCUCUCUCCCUACUUUCUCCCUCUUUCUGCCUUUCUCUUUUAGUCUCGCCAUUCUUUGGCUGUCUUUUUGUCUCUUUCUGAGUCUGUCUCUGCCUCUCUCAGUAUCUUUCUGUGCGCCUCUGGUCUCUGCC
rnacentral:lncRNA from 1 species